rfam:Triticum aestivum genome assembly, contig: Triticum_aestivum_CS42_TGACv1_scaffold_434180_5DL
CUAUUACUCCCUCCGUCCGGAAAUACUUGUCCGAAGAAUGAAUGUAUCUAGAUGUAUUUUAGUUCUAGAUACAUCCAUUUAUAUCCAUUUCUAUGACAAGUAUUUCCGGACGGAGGGAAUAGUAG